GGAGGGGUUGCAACAGUGCGGAAAGAGAGCGUGCUUUGGCCGAAGCAAGCAGGGUAUUUCCGAUAAAAAGCAUCUUAAAAUACUCUCAAAAUGGACCACGGAGUGAAGAACAAUCUGGUGGCAAAGGAGGAAGAAGGAGGAGGGAGUGACCAGAAUGUCUGCCUUAUGAGCCCUGGAGAAUUGAACGAGACCGAAAAUCUAACAGUGUGGAGUGAUUUUGGUGUUGGUGAUAAUUACUGACUCCUGACAUACUUAGAAGAUGAAACAUCACACAAAUAUCAUAGGAAGGAAAUGUGGGGAGAACGACUACAAGCGUGAACUUGAACUGGAUGAUGCUUUGUGUACGACAGAAAAAAGGACAGAACAGUGUGAUAUUUACAGAUGUAUAAAUCCUCCUUGACCACCAGCCUUGACCACCAAUCAAUCAAGAAGUCCUAAUCGUUUGGCCUCAGAAAUCGAUUUCAGAAUUAUAAUCUCUCCUUCCUUUGAUGCUUUAGCCUUAAUUGACAUCCUCCCAUUACUUCCAGUGCAGACACUGCAGGCCGGUACCCGGCAGAUCUCCGUAACUAUAGUUUCUCCU